UGUAUAUUAUUAUUGUUAUAUUCAUUACUACAUAUAUUAUUAUAUAUAAUACCUUAGAUACUUUAUAGUAUGUAGGUGUUCAUUUUAUAAUAACCUUUGCUCUGUCUGUAAAUGCUGCAUGAACAUUUCUAUAUACAUGAUAAACCUCACCAUUUAAAAACACAUCCUGCCUGUCUACACGCCAUCUGCGGAACAAGCACAGGUUUACAGAUCAAGAGAGCUCGGUCAUGCAGGUUUUCCUAAAUCUCCUCGGUGACACAGGCCACAGCAUGUUUCUUUUUACCCAGUUUAACCUAAUGGGCUUACAUCACUCAAGGACACUAAGGGAUAAAAGAUGACCUCAACAAAAAUGGGGCAAGGACGGCAGGAACUUCCCAGAAACUGCCACCCCAGCUUCCCUCCAAGCUUCUCUUCCCGAUCCUGGGGACGGUCCCUCUGUGCCUCAGGCAUGCAGGCAUGCUCUAGAUCAGAGGCCCCCGGAUCUCUGCCGGGCAGUGCCCUCUCCUCCCACCUCCAUGCCUUCUGCCUCUCUAGGGGACAGCGCUGCCACCAGGCGCCUGCCUGCCCAUGGCCUCCGCCCGUGAAACACGUCCGCCAGCCUCUUCUUGGGUCUCUGCUCAAACCGGACCUGAGGCCAGGUGCAAGAGCCCCCAGGUCAGAAUACAAAUAGAGCCGAAUAAAGCUGCUCCUGGCGUGGGAGGAGCCAGCAAUUUCAGAGACUUUCACGUGCUUGAUAACUAUUAAUAAAUAAACAAAAUUGCAAGCAAAACUGCAACUCAUCGAAUCUGACGGGCUUUCAGAGGGCUUGCUGUAGAUUUUAAUGGACACAUACGGUGGGUCCAGGGGUGGUCUGAGCCUUAAUUGCAGGGAGGCGGGGAGCCCUUUCCUGGACCCACAGCCUCUCAGCUUCUCUCGACGAGUCCGGCUACCGGAGGGAGGAAAGGAGGCUGUCCCACCAGGCCCUCUGUGCACGCGGGGUUCUGGCAGAGCACACCCUCGCAGAGCUUUGGGUUGGAAACCCACCAUCACCCAGUUACAUCCAGAAAGUCCAGUUAUCUAGUUAUGUGCUUAUCUAUACUCACAAGUCUCCAAACUUUAAACUAGCCACUGCUAACCUUAAAAAUACAAGUGUCAGUUAUUUUACCAGUAAAAAUGGGCUUAUUCAAGAAUAGCAGGGAAUGGCAACUCAGGACAUGCCAGCUAAGGUAAAACUAGAGGAAGGUUCUCUGGUAGAGGAAAGAGGCUGUUAUAAACAAAAAGUCCAUUGGGGUAAACUGGGAGCUUGGAAGUGUCGUGCCUUCUCAUUGGCUGAGCUGGGACAGUCUCUCACUGGCUGGGCUGUUGCCAGGCAAGGAGAAAACCUUUCUUCCUCCUGCCGCGGGUGUAAAGUAGGGUCAACUAGCAGGGCCUGUCCCUUCCUGAUGGGGACUGCAAUCUAUGGGGAGGGAUAGGGUGUGAGAGCUCUUCCUUUGGCUGCCCCAUUCCACUUAAAAUAAGGCUUCCUUUUAUUAAUUGUCGCACACUGAAUCCAUGGUCCAGGUUUCCGAAAGCUUUGAAAAGGAUGCCAAAGAGGAGAAGAAGAGGAAGGGGAUAAGGUGAUGAGCUGCUCGGCUAAAGGAAGAAAAGUGACUGGGGAGAAGGGACGGUGGUUAAAGGCUACUUGGAAAGGGAGAUUCCUGAGCCUCAGCCUGGACCGAUUUCAUAAUUCAGCCAAAAGGUGUCCGCCCCCAGCCCACCCCCAUUGCAUGGUCCGUGAACUGCAGAGAUGGCAUUUGAGGCCUUUGGCAGAGCCAGGGCCCAGUGGCUUUGAUGUGACUGGUGGCCAGCUUGCUGGAAAUCAGCGUGUGCCCGACAGACAUAAAGCCGAAAUCUCAGUGAGCCCGCAAAUCAGGCUGGAGCUUCCACAACACCCGAAUGCUGAGCCCUUGGGUCGCUUCUGCGCUGUGUGGAUCGUUUUGUUUCCUUCCCUCCUUGCUGGGACGUUCCUUUGGCCUACGCUCACUUACAGUGCUUACUAAGAUCCGAUUUACAGCUAUCCUCACCGUUCCACUGACUUCUUUCUUUGCUUCCUACUUAUUACUGUCGUGAUGUGACACAUAUAUGUAUGUAUACGCACGCAUACAUAUUUAGGACACCUGUCUGUCACUAAUAAUGCUAUACAAAUAUAGGGAUGAUGUAUUUCAGUCUUUUCUCCCUUUAUUUAUAAUAUACGUAAAAAGCAAAUCGUUUCAUGUUCUGAGUAAAGCUGUUUGCACUAAGGUUGGAUCUUGUAAUUCUCUUUUUCUGUUGGGUGUUUUGUUUAGUUUUUAAAAAAGCAUGAGGUCAGGCAAUUAAAAGGGAAUGUUAAUGAAACUGGGAAAGAGGAGUGAAGGCUGAACAUGGGCGUUUUUAAAAAUUCAAGAGAGAUAUAAUAACCUUGUAGAAAUCAGACUCUGCAAAGGAAGCCAAACCUCAGAAGUAAAAACCUGUGAUUGUCACUCUUCGGUCUCUUGUCAGAAGAAAGUGUAUAGUGGAACUGAAUCCAUCCAUUCAGUUCCAUUGUUUUUCCUUGCAAUUUCCACUCUCACUGGUAAUACUUCUGAGGUGUGUGAUGUUUCUCUAUGUGUAUUUUUGUAAAAUAUGUACCGUUGUUUCAUAUGCAUAUAUUUCUAUUUACGUCAUUCUCGCUGGGUCGUUAAAGCCCGUUCACAUUGCGUGUGUCCAGCGGUCCGUUACUCCUUGCCUCCCCCUCAUUUCUGUAUCUACUCCCCCGCCUCGUGAUGGAUCCCCUGAUUGCCUCUAAUUCCCCAACAACGUUUCUGUAGGUAUCCAGGUCUCCCCUGUAUAGGCGUGUGCGAGAAUUUCCACAGGGUAUAUUCCCAGGAACAGAAAUGCCGGGUCGUAAAAUAUCCACAUACUUAGUUUCAGUAAGAACCACCAGAUUGCCGCCAGCAAGGCUAUUCCAUUCUCCGUCCCCACCAGCAGCACAUGGGGUAGGUCGCUACUAAAUGAAGUUGCACACGUUUAAAAUUUUGCCUUGCUCCGAUCAGUUGAGCCCAUCUAAACAUGCCUGCCAGUAAGGUACGCUAAGUGAUAUACAAACCCCGAAUCUCAGCAGCUUAGAAAAUAAAUGGGGACUUCGUGUCCAUGCCCCAGUGCAAUGUGGGAAGAAGUCAGAGAAUGGGCGCUGCUCCAGGCGGUCAGGCGUCUGUGGCAUCGCUCUGUCCUCUCCUAGAGCCUAGAGGAUUCGCUGCGCCCAGCCAGCAGGGGAGGCAGGAGCGAGCCCCCAGGGCAGCCGGGGCGACAGGGGGCUGUACCUGAUCCCUUCUCCUUCCUUAACCAGGACUCAGUCGCGGGGCCCGAGGCCAGGGGGCUGAGAAAUGGGGCCUGGCUGUGUGCGGAGAGGGCACGGAAACUGGCGUCUCCUUCUGUGGAAACUGCGGCCACGACUGCCUGGGAAGCCGGCGAGGGCAGGAGUGGGCCCCACGUACUCCCGCACCCCAGUGCCUGGCAGGUGGCGGUGCUGACCAGAGUCACCGAUGGGCACUGGCUGCCCCUGAAGAGGCUCGCAGACCCCAGCGCCAGCGCCGCCCUCCUAGCCUGAAGCCCUCUGCUCUCCCACCGGGAACACACCAUCUAGGCCACGGAAGCGUCUUGCCGUUCACCCAGGCCUUCCCAAGGCCGUGUACUUAACACUAUUAUUUGCCCUGUGGGAAUGCCUUUCCAACAUCUUCCACCUUCUUAACUCAUCUUAGCUGCCCCUUCCUCCAUGAAGUCUUCCUGGGUUCCUGAGCAGGAAUAAACCCCUCUCUCUGUGCCUCCACCAGGUCUCCUCCCCAGCACAGUCGGCUUUGCAGGAGCCCCCCAGGCCCUCUCAGUGAGUUCAUGUUACUUCAGCGAAUCGUAAACCCUCUCUGGUCCUAGUGAUGUGUUGCCCAUAUUGGCGUCUCUCAUCCCCCACGAAGCCGAGCACAGCUCCGACUCAGGGCCGUCCCGCAUGUGUUCGAGCUGAUGUGACAAUCACGUGGAGACAGCGGCUCCCCGAUGUGAAUGCCCGUGAACUACCCCAGGACCCCAGAAGAACCUGGGCAGGCUGCGCACCUGCGCAGGGCAGAGCAUGGGCAGCUCAGUCCUGCCAAGAGCAGGUGCCCCGGACACCCUCCUCGUAGCUGCCCGCUUCACUCUUUCCUUAUGCUCCCCUGCCCGGCCCAGGACAGGGCAGCUUCCCAGCCGGGCACGCCAGGGCACACCGAGCUCUCCGCGGGUGGGCUGCCAGCACUCGGCCUCUGGGCCCGGCCAUGGUAAGCGUCUCCGGGUGGCUCAGUCCUGGUCUGAUCCCAGCCUUUGGGGGUCAGCCUCACCUACUCCUCAGGUGGUGGCUCCUGAGCAACCCUGACCCGUCCUCUGCUGACAGAGUGUGCUUGCACACAUGUGCACAUACCAGCACACUCAUACAUUCGUGCCCAUACCCACUCAUACACAUGCAUUGCCCACACACACACUCGUGCACGAACCUGCACACUCACACACACAUGUGCAUGUACCCCCCCACACACAGAGACACAAGAAUAUACACAUGAUAGAAACUGAUCCAGGGCUUCGAAGUCGCAACAGCGUUUAGUGUAGCCCUGAACAAAGGUUCUCACCCAGCACAGUGCAGCUCUAUGGAGGCACUCGACAAAUAUUUGUUGAAUGAAGAGAUUAUUUGCUUUCCCACCUCCCACCAACCGUUGCCACUUCGGCGUGCCUCUGCCCACUUGAAACACCUGUUCUACUACGCCAGGUCCCCAAUGUGAUAACAGUGCCAUCCAGGGAUGGGGCCCCAACCUUUGUGCCUGUGUGUCUUCCAUUUUUUUUCAGAAGUUCACCAAACACAGUAUGUGAUUUCCCCUCUGGGUCUUGGUACAUGCUGCUGGGAAUUCCUGCUCCUCAACCCUGGCCCCAUUCCCGUUCCUUCCCCUACCUUACUCCUGGUCACCCUACAGAGCCCACCGAGUGGCUGCUCCUUCCUUCGGAAAGUCCUUCCCAAGUGCCCAUCCCGAUCCCUGUCUGGGGUGAAAUGGAUUAAGUGGACAAAGAGGGAAAACAUCUCCAGCUCUCCUUAGAACUGCUGAUCACACUCAUGGGCAAGGCCAGCCAGAGCUUAUAUGUGCAACAUUGCACACGUGUAUCUACCAACUAUGUUCACAUUGUAUCUUUGUGGUUGCACAGCAACCCUGGGUUGUUGUUAUUUCCAUUUUGGAGAUGGGGAAACUGAGGCUCUGAGCUAUUAAUGAUCCAUGUGAAGUCGCAAGAGCCAGUAAGGCAGAGAGCGAGUGUCACAAUCCAUGUCUCCUGACACGAAAGCUUGUGUUCUUUCCAUUUCAUGGGGUUGGGCUGCAGUUUUUAUGCAGGAGGGAAGACGGAGGUGGUGAAUGAGCUCAGAAGUUGUGCUAAUUGCCUAAAACAGGAGAUCAUGAGGGGCGCUACCCUUUCCACUCCAUACAUCGCUGAGGAGCCCUCAAAACUAGGGGAGGCACGGCUUGAUUGAUUUGGUCCAAUUCAUUUCCCCGGUCCUGGGCCGUUAAUGGAGUGUAUUAUAAACCUCUCUGAAAUAAACACCCCUGUUUACCUGGCAAUCAUGUAUAAUAGCCUCUAAAAGCAUUUGCUGGUAAGGGUUCUCAAUAAAACCGAGUAACGGAGUAAAUGGAGAGGGAAGCCAAUGAGGUGGCAGGUGAGGGUGGGAAGUCCUGCCCUGCCUGUGCCCCGCUCCCGGCCGUGAGGAAGAACAUUCCCUCCUCGGCCAACUGGUGGUGGAAGCAGGUCUCGGCCACCCACCGAGCCUUUAGCGCCUCCCCGGUAAAGUCUGUCUCCUGCACAAGCAGGGCUUUCCCUCCAGGGUCAGGGUAGAGACCCUCUUGCCCCACCCCCGCCGUGGAGAAGCUGGCCUCCAAGCCCCUGCUCAGCACCCAAUGGCCCCUGGGCUGGAGUCAGGUCUCGGGCAGGCCCUCAGGGUGGGGCAGGCAGCCUCAAGUCACCAGCCAGGGCAGGGCCGCAGCCUCUGCGCCCCUUUCCCAGAGGCCCAUCUGAGCACCACAGGAGGGCUGUCUGCGGCCACUCCUCCCGCUCAGCCCGCUGGGCUCUGGAGUGGAGGGAAGGGGAGAGGAUGCCCACCGGCCACGUUUGUCAUGUGAUACACACACCACUCCGGGUCAUUCUCUGCCUUCCACACAGACUCCAGGUCUGGGUCUCACAGAUGAGGAAACUGCGUCCCAGAGACAGACGCGAUCAUGAAGCUGGCUGUUGACAGUCAGCCUAGGACCUGCUGACCCCUGGCCAGUGCUCUCUGCACCCACGGGCCCUCUCCUGGCAGAGCCCUGCUGCCAGCUGGCCCGCUGUCUUCCUGUGAGACCGUGUUUAACACGACCCAGCAGGUGCAACUAGCAAUGGAAAGUCUGCCUGGAAUCAGCUGAGCAGGACUGCAAGCAAGCCUGGCAGCUUCGGUGAGGCCCUUCAUUACCGCUGACUCCCUGCGUCCCCAGGAACUGCCCCCCUUUAGAGCUCACUGAUGGGCUAAGCUCCUCGCUGACACAUCUCUCCUUACCUAUGCCUGUCCGCUGAUGUGGGGCUGGAGACAUGGGUAACGUGGAGCACUGGAACGUUUACUCUUUCCAGUUCUAUAUUUUUUAAAAGCCAUAGUCUUAAGCAAAAGGGGUAAGCAUCUAAGGCACGACUUCAAGCAUCCUACCUAACUAGGGAGGUGAUGCUGGGGAGUGGAGGCACGAUAGUGGGCCUUGUGGCCCCAAAAUAACACCAGGUAAGGAAGUUCCAUUCCACCUGUGUGAGGCGGCCCGAAUUCCGUCUCCACCUCGUACGAUCCAGGGAGAGGCACAGGUCUGGAGCCCCCGGAGGCUGUAAGUGGAGCAGGGCACUGGCCCAUCCGAACGGGUGCCUGCCGGCUGCCCCUGCCAUCUACAGCGGCUGGGUUCAGACUGUGGCCUUCCACGGAGGCUUCAUGACAGCCCUUUCUGGAUCCGGGGGUGUCACCAGCCCUCCGUGUCUGUCUUCCCGUUUGGGCGUCUGUCAGGACUGACAUCUCUCCUUCCUUCCUCCUGUGGCCCCACUGACGUCCUUCUUCAUCUCCAUCUGCCUCACCGUUUCCGCAAGGGCCGCAGGAAAACUCUCGAUUCGCAAAGCUCAGCGAGCCUCCUGGUACCCCGGAGGCUCCCAAACCACACCCCGUCCUGUUCCUCCCAAGCUCACACUCACAUUUCACCCUCGGGAAGCAGUCAAAUGCGUCUGGCAUCUUCGGCCAUCUUUCCAGCUCCUAACGGUUCUGUCUGGGAGUUGGCGGCAAUAAUCGCCUCAAAAGACCCCCAGUGGAGAGGAGCGGACACAUGAUGGGUGCAGAGCCCACGCCUGCUUUAGAACAGGGACAUUCCAGACCAUCAGGGACAGAGGGUGGCUGUGAGGUCCGCUCUUCCCGAAGGCUCUGCUCUGUCCUGCUGGGAGGAGCUGUGGAGUCGGCCCUUUGGAAAUGUCGACUGCAGGGUGACCUCAGCCGGAGGCACCAUAUAGCACAGGCCCUGGCCCUGAGCAGGGAUCCCUUUGGGAGGGGAGGGGGGUCAGGGGCAGGAGAGCUUGUCUGGGGGGUGGGAUUUGUAGAGAAGCACUCGCCUACGUACAAGUCUACGACUCACCUAAGUGUUCAGAGAAGACAUCCAGGCAUGUGCCUGAGGACACAGGCUUCCUGUGUCAAAUGCUCUUGGCUGAGGUGCCCUCUGCACCCCCUGAGACUGUCUAUAACAUUCCAAAGAUCGAUCAGCAAACAUUUAUCAAGCACCAGCUGUAUUCCCGGAAAUGUGCUGAGCAAUGUGGGGGCUGAAGGGAGAAUGGAGGGCCUCCUCACAGAGCCUUGGUCUCCCCUCCUCCCGUACCUCCUCUCCAGCCGGAGACAGGCCGGGUUGACAAAAGUAGCCCCAAAGGAGCAUUCAGACCCUGCAAGAGGCUUGCCAGGCAAGCUAGGAGGCAGGGAGGAGAGAAAACUAGCUGGACCCAGGGGUCUGGACCAGCGGCUGGACCCCGCCUGCCCAUUUGCUCCUGGAUUGUUGCUACACUUUUCUUGUUCCUGUGGAUUCGUUCAUGUUAUGUGUAGGGGAGGGUGGCAGAUGGGUUGAGCCACUAGGUUAUGUUUUCUCCUCCUGUGAAUCAUGAAAAGAUAUGUUAUUUUAUUUUAAUGGUCUGACCGGCCUACACCUCUCCUCCCCGGGGGGCAAACCUGAGGGCCACUCACUCAGGACGCUUUCGGGGGCCACAGUGGGAAUCAGGUGAAGAGCAAAGGCUUCUUAGGCUUCCUGACACCCUCGCAGGUCCUCUGGCCAGUGAGAGGGAGAAGACGGACCCGUUCGGGACCAUCAAGACCACAGCUCUUAGACUUGGUGGAGGAGAAAAUCCUGACCUCAGGAACCCCGGGGCAUCCACCACACACCCUGUACGGAGCAGAGCUGCUGCCUUCCUGUCGGGCAGUUCCACAUGCUGAGGGUCCGAAGUUCCUCUCAGUUGUCCACCCGCCCUUGCCCACCCCCACCCUGAUCCUGGGAUUAAUGGAGACCAGCACCUGAUUUAUACAAGAUAUUGCACUGUUUUAGCAGGAAACGGAGGGGUUCAUCACCCAAGGGAUUCUGGCCCAACCUGAAGAAGUCCAGGUAGGCUGUGGGUUCAAGAUCCACCUGACAGGCAUUCAGGCACCGUGGAUCUCAGCAGUGCUGUGGAAAGCAGAGAGCUUGUGCAGGACAGAGUGAGCGCUCGACCCCCCAGGUCCUUCCUGAUGGAGCUCAGGCCCCAUCUCUCUGCCUGCCCCCCAACACUUGGCUGGAGGCCAGAGGAGCCACUGAGGAGGUUUCCUGAGCCUCGUCCUCCAGCCAUUGGCCUCGUCACACUCACCCCCUCCCAUCUGCUUCUCCGGUCCCCUCCUCCGGCAUCAGACAGCCCCUCCAACAAGAGGCAGAGUGCAUUUUAGUUGAGCGGGGAGGAGGCUGCAAAGCUGAGAAAAGAUGGGCUUAGUUUUGACCGGGCUCAGCUUUAGGCUGAAAACUCUUAUCCACAUAAAUUCUAGGACCCAGAGAGAGAUCUCAGCUGGAGAUCUCAGUGUGUGUGUGUGGGUGAAGAGUACUUGCUCUAUAACAGAAGUGACUUUCUUCUUCAAGCCCCAUUAAAAUUCACCAAAUCUUCCUUCCUUCAGCAGGGGCGGGGGUGGGACAGUCCCUCGGUGCCAGGCACAGGGGCUGGCACUGGCCCAUGCUGCUGGCGCCUGCUGAGAUCACACUGCAUGGUCUGGCUGAAGAUCACCGAUUAACAAGGCUCACAACUUCCCCUUUACCCACGGCCAUGGCCUGCCUGGCUCUCUCUCUGCCCUCUUUCCAUUCCCCACCGAGGAGCGAGGGAAAUCCCUCCGCCGCCCUCUGCCUGCUCUGGGCCAUGAAGCGAACUCCUGCUCUGGCACCACGUUGAGAGCAGGGGCAAGUCUGGGGUCCUGCCACUUCCUCACGCACCCAGGGAAGGGCACAGGCCACGGAUGCUGUGGUCAUGUUUUCUUAAAUAAGGAUAGAGAAGAGAUAAAAUGUAUCUAAGAAUGCAAUUUUGGUUAAUUUAUAUAUUGAAUUCUAUAAUCAGAAAAUAGAGGUGUACCUUUAUUUAAAGCUAUCCAUAUUGACUGCAUAUAAAACAGAGAAAUUAUAAAACUUCUUGAAAGUAGAAAUAAUAUAAAAACCUCUGAUCACAAUGCAAUAGAAUAGAUCUUAACUACAAUACCAGAAAGAAAGGGACACUAUCACACAAAAUCUUCAAAAUUUUCUCUUAAGCACUCUUAGAUUAAUGCAGAAACCAAAACAAAAUUUUUUAAUUAUAGAAAAAAAUCCUACAGGUAAGACUCUAUAAGAUGUAUAAAUAAAGCAGAGGGGAAAAGUCAUGAUCUUAAAUACUUAACAGGUAAAAAUUAAUUAAGCACCCCAAAUCAAGAAGUUAGAGUAACAAAUACAUUUAAAGGAAGCAUAAGAUGAAAUUAAUAAAAAAAAAAA